GUUCAUUUGCAAUAACAGUGCUACAACAGAUAGUAGGUCACCAUGAUGGAGUUGUUAACAUUUGAUAGGGAGAACCGGGAGCGUAUCCAAGCAGUGGAGAAAUCAUUUGGUGCAUCAGGGAGGUCUCUAACCAAGCAAGGUCGGAUUCUGAUGGGACAGGGCCGUCUGAUGAAGCAGGGCCGUCGGAAGCCCCAACCUAAGAUGUUCUUUCUCUUCAACGAUGUGCUGGUGUACGGAAGCAUCCUUCUGAACCGCCGCUGGUACAAAAAUCAGAAGAUCAUCCCUCUAGAGGACAUCCAGCUGGAGGACAUGGAGGACGGUAUGGUAUUGAAGAACCAGUGGCUGAUCCGUACACCAUGCAAGUCUUUUUUUGUGUCUGCCCCUUCAUAUGAGGAGAAGCGGGCCUGGAUUGAGCACAUUGAAGACUGCCGGUCCAGCCUGCUGCAAGGCGGCAGCCAGCAAACUGGUUCAACAACAUUUGCUGUUUCCUGGAUCCCAGACCAGGCCUCCUUCAAAUGCAUGCGCUGCUUCAACAAGUUCUCUGCGACCAAUCGUCGACACCACUGCCGGAAAUGUGGCUUUUUGGUCUGCAAUUCGUGCUCCAAGCAGCGAGCAGUGAUAAGCCACAUUCACCCGACUAAGAAGUUGAGGGUCUGCAGUCUCUGCCACACAAGGAAUGAGGAGGAUAAGAAAUCUCGCCUGAGGGGAGACAGCUCUGGAAAGACUAGUUCAGAUGAGGACGAGGUGGCAGCAUCCAGUGAUGAAGAGGAGAGAGAUGAGGGAGAGGACAUGAUUCAGAACUAUGCUUGCAGCAGCUGGCUGGACUCCCGGAUGGGCACCUGGGGACAGAUGGGCACCUAUGUUUACCCAAGACCAAUAAGUCUGCAGCUCUAGUGAAACAUAACCACAUCUGCUACAUGUUCACCAUCAUUAAGAACCAUAACAAUGACUUGUGUUACCACAGUGUUGGACUUUUGAAAGGAUUCAGAUGAGACAAAACUGAUCCAAUUACUUGCACUAGAAUCACGUUACAUUUGUAUUUGUACAUAUUUACUGCUGUCAUUACUGAACCUUUUACAAUGUACUUGGUUCAUCUGCUGUGAAGUGUGUUGUUAUUUGAUGUCAGAGGAUGUUGAGAAGAACAGGCCUCAGUAUAACUGUAAUCUAAUAUGUAUGCGCCAGUCGCUGUUUAAAUGUGAAAAGACAUUUGCACAUUAUAUCUGCUCUUUCAUUUUGCUUUGGAAUUAUCCAUGAACAAUAAAUCACACAGAAAACAAAA